AAAUUUGAUUGUGAUCUAAAGCAGCUGCGGUUUGCAGGUGACCUUCUUAUGGAAUUGGGUGCUGGUGUGGAGCUAGCAACUGCAGCUGUUCCUCACCUUUUUCUUCCUUUGGCUUGUGCUGCUAAUGUGGCUAAGAAUGUUGCUGCUGUAACAUCAACUUCAACUCGGACGCCAAUUUACAAAGCCUUUGCUAAAGGAGA
rnacentral:misc_RNA from 1 species